AUUGAACGCUGGCGGCAUGCCUUACACAUGCAAGUCGAACGGUAACAGGUCUUCGGAUGUUGACGAGUGGCGAACGGGUGAGUAAUACAUCGGAACGUGCCCAGACGUGGGGGAUAACGAGGCGAAAGCUUUGCUAAUACCGCAUACGAUCUAAGGAUGAAAGCAGGGGACCGCAAGGCCUUGCGCGUUUGGAGCGGCCGAUGGCAGAUUAGGUAGUUGGUGGGAUAAAAGCUUACCAAGCCGACGAUCUGUAGCUGGUCUGAGAGGACGACCAGCCACACUGGGACUGAGACACGGCCCAGACUCCUACGGGAGGCAGCAGUGGGGAAUUUUGGACAAUGGGCGAAAGCCUGAUCCAGCAAUGCCGCGUGCAGGAUGAAGGCCUUCGGGUUGUAAACUGCUUUUGUACGGAACGAAAAGGCUCUGGCUAAUACCUGGGGCACAUGACGGUACCGUAAGAAUAAGCACCGGCUAACUACGUG
rnacentral:rRNA from 1 species